UACGUAGGGAGCAAGCGUUGUCCGGAAUCAUUGGGCGUAAAGAGCGCGUAGGCGGUCCGGUAAGUCGGUUGUGAAAACUGGGGGCUCAACCCUCAGAGGCCGACCGAUACUGUCGGGCUAGAGUCCGGAAGAGGCGAGUGGAAUUCCUGGUGUAGCGGUGAAAUGCGCAGAUAUCAGGAGGAACACCAAUGGCGAAGGCAGCUCGCUGGGACGGUACUGACGCUGAGGCGCGAAAGCGUGGGGAGCAAACAGG
rnacentral:rRNA from 1 species